rnacentral:lncRNA from 1 species
UAGUAUAGGAUAUGGGUAUAAAUAGUAAGUACAUUUUAUACCUUUGUAAUAUUUAGUGUAGUAAUUACUUUGAAACUUGAAGCUGGUAUCCAGCAUGGAUAGGAGGCUGAAGGACGAUCUCCCAGAAAUGAAGAGCUGGGGUUUUGCCGGUGGAUUGAUGAGAAAGGAGACCCAGAGCCUCUGCAGCAUGAGAGCCCCCCUCUGUGCUCCCUUCUCUCUCUCGCUAAGGCCUGCUUUUCCCAUUCCCACUGGCUUUCCCAGCCCAGAUGGCAUGAGCAGACCUCACUCCAGGGACCAUUCCCACACGCCCCAGGAGGGGUAUGGGAUCCCCACAUGGGGAAGGACGGCUGGAACUGAAGACCCUGUGGAUUGCUCCGUUACGGAUUGACUUCCUUCCCAGGGUAAUGUGAAGGUCAUGAAUUGGGAAGAGCCAGUGGUUGCGACUGUGUUGAUCUUCUCAUUAUCUAGUUGGCACAAACUCUACCACUACUCACAAGGUUUCUACAUUUCAGACCUUGAAAAUCCAAAACUCUUCUGUUCUCACCCAAGGUUUAUGUUCUGUAGUCUUGCAGGGUCUGAACUUUUUCUUUGAUGAAGCAGAUGGUUCACUCUGUCCUCCCCUUUGUUAUAUCUUGGCACCUAGUUCUUUCUAUUUAUGGUGAGAUGUUUUGCUUUCCUGUGAGUAUUCAGAAAUAAGAUUCCUUUUUUUUUUUUUUUUUAAUUUUGGCUUAUCCACUUAGAAACAUAACUGAGGAAACUUUUUUCUUUAGUUUUCUUUCUAAAUGCUCAGAUUUUCCCAUACAGAAAAGCUACAUUAUUUUCUUACAUCCUAGUGCAUAGCUACAAGACUUGAACAAGAGACCAGCUGAGCCAUGGGAAAAGUUGGUGGUGUUCUUUUUUACGCAUUUAUUAUUGACAAAUGGUUUUAAGUGUGCUUGAAUAUGCCUUUGUAUUUUCCAAAACUGACCAUUUUUUCCUGUAAUAUUUCCAAGAAGCAGCAAUUCGUAGUAUCAAAAUUGGAGUCUGCCACAUGCAUCCUCAUGAAUCUUACUUUAGUAGUCCAAUGACACGUUGACCUCUAUAAUAUUGAACUUAAUUUGCUGUCAGUUUUACUGUUUUUUUUUUUCUUUCUUUCACACUUUAUCUUUUAUUGAUCUUCUUGUAUUCUGUGCACUUUUGCUUACUUCUCCCUUCUCUGUUUCCAUUUCCUUUUCUCAAGCUAAAUAAGUUCCAAAUAUUUAGUUACUGCCUGUGGCAGCCACAUUAGAGGUUCAUCUGGCCUCGUUUAGUGUUGUAUGUAGAAGCCAGCUUCAGAGGAGAAAUUAAAGGCUGCACAAUUACCUUUCAGUUCCAUGUAGAACCCAAUAAGUCUAAUUCCCUGAAGAAUA